UGUUAAAAUUUUUAUUUAUUUCUACUGAUAAAAAUUAAAGUGGCUGACAAAAUAACUAAGUAUUUACACUUCCACGUGUAACCUUAUGCUAGCUUACAGUGACCAAUUUUUAACAGUAAAAAUGAAUAGAAUUUUUAACA
rfam:Gossypium arboreum cultivar AKA8401 contig_14944_5, whole genome shotgun sequence.